ACUGUAUAUCAAACAUAUGGUC
rnacentral:miRNA from 1 species